rnacentral:lncRNA from 10 species
GAAAUGAAAGAACUAUUGGCAGAGUCAUGGAAAAUUAAAUAUGAGCUCAUAUUAUAUGAGUAGCUAGAAAAUUUUGGUGCUCUCAAAACUACAUUUUGGCAAGUAUCAAUUUCCUUGGACAAUAUAAGUGUAGUGGAAGCAGUAAAAGUCUUAGUUUUCAGUAUUAGUUAUACAGCGGUCAGAAAGAUAAUAGACUAUACUUCUACUGUAUGGAGAAAGGAUCAGAGGUUAUAUUAUUAUUUCUUGACCUGACAUGCCAAAUUGAAUGUGAUGUUCAGUACCAUACAUUUCAAUGAAGCAAAUUAUAAUAAGAAAGAAAUUUUUUUCAUGGGCCAUGCAUAUCCAUAAUAGAAAUAACAGGAUUGUAGGGUAAAUGGAUAUAUCAUUGCAUAAGAAAUAUUGUCUACUUAGUUGCAUGAGUUUUAAAUCAAAUAGAGAUGGAUGUGAGUCCUACUUCUCUCCUAUCUGUUUGAACAUGGUCUCUCUGAGCCUCAAUUUCCUACUAGCUAAAAUAAAGAUACUAUUAUCAACCUCA